GGAUCUUCAGGAGCCUUGCGACUUUUUCCAUUGCUGAGUAAAGCAAGGAGGCCUCCCUUGUCAGGAAUGAGGGCUUGUGGGACUUUUUUAGCAGAUGGAAGAGUGCCAGAAGAGAGAUAAGGCCCUCACCCGUGAUCUGUAUUCUCUGGCUGUAUGAGGGAGUACUAGGCUGUAGCUGCCAAAAUACCCUCUUCCUUUAGGCCUGGAGGCUGUGCUGAUUAGUGGUUGGAAUAAGAGUGGGGUAAAGAAGGUUCUCUUCACAGAGGAAAAGGAGAAGUGAUUGAGAUGAUGGUGCUUCACAUCCCAGAGGGAGUUUCGCUUGACAGAUAAGCACCCUGAGUCAUGAGCUGAAUACGUGCCUAAACGGUUUAGAGGUUGAAGGAAAUCCUAUCAAAGUUUGCUGUUGUGGUUGAACGUGCUGACUCAAAGCACUUACUACGUGAGCUACUGGGGAGAAAAUGUGGCUGGUAGUAAGUUGUGCAGUGGGCCAGGUGGAAAUCAGGAGGCAGAAAUCAUCCUUGACACAAAGGGGAAGCAAUCUGGGAACCACUGGAUUCAGCACUUCAACCUGGAGAAAGUGAUUCUAGAUGACCUGGUGAAUCUAUUUAAGCCAAAAGCAAAAUGUCUGUCAACCUAAGUCAACAACCACUUUUCAUCCAGUGGGUCAAACUUUUCAUCUAAAGCUGAGGCUGUUUUACAUCACCUGCACAGCAUCAAACACACAGC
rnacentral:lncRNA from 1 species